UACGUAGGUGGCAAGCGUUGUCCGGAUUUACUGGGCGUAAAGGGCGUGCAGGCGGUCUGUUAAGUUCAGGGUGAAAGCUCCCGGCUCAACUGAGAGAGGUCCUUGGAUACUGGCAGACUUGAGGGAGGUAGAGGAGAGUGGAAUUCCCGGUGUAGUGGUGAUAUGCGUAGAUAUCGGGAGGAACACCAGUGGCGAAGGCGGCUCUCUGGGCCUUUCCUGACGCUGAGACGCGAAAGCGUGGGGAGCGAACCGG
rnacentral:rRNA from 1 species